rnacentral:rRNA from 1 species
UACGUAGGGCGCAAGCGUUGUCCGGAAUUAUUGGGCGUAAAGAGCUCGUAGGUGGCGUGUCGCGUCUGCCGUGAAAGCCCAUGGCUUAACUGUGGGUCUGCGGUGGAUACUGGCAGGCUGGAGGCUGGUAGGGGCAAGCGGAAUUCCUGGUGUAGCGGUGAAAUGCGCAGAUAUCAGGAGGAACACCGGUGGCGAAGGCGGCUUGCUGGGCCAGUUCUGACGCUGAGGAGCGAAAGCGUGGGGAGCGAACAGG